ensembl:lncRNA
CAGCUCAUGUGUGAGGGAAGAGACCCCCUCCAAUGAGAAGGGAGGCAGAGAGUGGGAAAAGUGGCAACUCGGGUACAAAGGAGCAAAGAACGGUGAUUCAUAAGGAGGGUGGGAGAGCCAGGCCUGCCUGCCUCCACGCCUGCCACAGUAUAGAUUCCACGCCUGGCACUUACUUGGCAGAUGAACCACGAGCGCACUGACUGCCAGCUUUAUAAAGGUUUCUGAACUUUGAGACAACAAGAUUGAUUCUGCAGGAAAGCACAGGCCUUGAACAAUCAGCUUUGGCCUCAGGCUACAGAGGCAUGUGGGAUAUUGGCUCCCUGACUGGGGAUUGAACCUGCACCCCUUGCUAUGGAAGGUGAAGUCUUAACAACUGAACCAUCAGAGAAGUCCUGAGAAAGCCUUAAUAUGGAAAAAAAAAGUCAAUGGAGCUAAGAGAGUGUGCUUAGUAACGAUUCUAUGUAAUUGUUAGGAGAAUUAGAAACAUUGCUUCCACAUGUGCUCCUGCAGACCCAACAUCUCUGACAAAGAAGCCCAGCUUGUUUUCUCUUGAUCGUUUCCACUUCUGAGCUAUUCACACUGCGAUAUAAAUGAUUAAUAUCAAAUUAAUCCUCAAUAUGGAAAAGAGAACAUCAAAAUGUCAGAUGCUGGCCACCUGAAGACUCCAGCUUACUUCUUAUGUUCAGAAGACGCCUCAGUUUCCUCAUUACUAUGAUCAUUUCUCCCCAGGCUACCUAUUUUCUUAAGUGAAGACACAGUAGAAUAAGUAAAUCAAAUGCUUGA